rnacentral:misc_RNA from 1 species
GAUGAAGAACGUAGCGAAAUGCGAUAAGUAGUGUGAAUUGCAGAAUUCAGUGAAUCAUCGAAUCUUUGAACGCACAUUGCGCCCCUUGGUAUUUCAUGGGGCAUGCCUGUUCGAGCGUCAUUUGUACUCUCAAGCUAAGCUUGGUGUUGGGUGUUUGUCCACUUCCUCGUGUUUGGACUCGCCUUAAAACAAUUGGCAGCCAGUGUUUUGGUAUUGAAGCGCAGCACAAUUUGCGAUUCUAGCCUAGAAUACUAGCAUCCAUCAAGUCAUUUUUAACGCUUGACCUCGGAUCAGGUAGGGAUACCCGCUGAACUUAAGCAUAUCAAUAAGCGGAGGA